CGGAUGAAGAGGAGGGGGAGACGGGGAGUCGAGUGGUAUGUAGAAGAGGCAUAUUUCGGGUUUGUGCGUGAAUCUGACGCCUAGAUUUUGCUGUUGCUUAUGGCGGUUCGUUAGAUUCACGCACAAACUCGUAAUAUGCCUUUUCAUGGUUUUCACCCCCGCUAUCGGAUUUGCUGUUUCAUCGGUUUAGUGCAAAUGAUCUGUGGUUUUGCUCCAAUGGAAUCUUUACAAUGGCAGACAAACUUGAUCUGCUUUGAGUCACAUGAAAAUGAUCUGUGAAAGAAGGUACGAGCUAUCCAUCAUCAGCUUGAGGUUAUUCAUUAUUCUGCCGGUAACUUCUUCACUUUCUAACAUUAUAAUGAUGACAUUUUGCAUAAGCUUAUAAUUAUUGAACACAUGAUCAUGUAUUGCCAAUGGUCACGGUCCAAAUUUUGGGUUCAAAUUGGUAGGUAGCAUUUACAUUUUAUACGACAGUCUAAGUGUAGGAUUUUGAGUUCAAAUCGAUAGCAUUGACAUUUUAUACGGAAUUAAUGUAUUUGCAGAACUCUUAAUCUAUCUACCAACUAAAGCCUAUAUAAUACAUGCUUAACUAUUGAAUAUAAACAUUUGCAAAAAUCAGAUUUUCCUUUUGAGUUUCAGACUUACAUUCCAGUAUAGGUGUAUACGGCCUUGCUUGUUAUUUAUUAACUUUCAAAAAUGGAAGUGCUCUGCCUUGCUUGUGAUUUAUCAACCUUCAAAAACAGAAGUGUGGUGAAGGUAAGGGUCAUUCAUACAUACAUAGUCAUGAAAAGAAAAGGUUUGUCUGAAAUAAAGAUUAAAGAAGUUGUCUUUCACGACCGAAGAGGUACAUGUUCUUUUUGCCUAAAUCUGCAUCAACAAUGAAUAUUUUCAAUUUGUAUAUAUAUAUAUAUAUAUAUAUAUAUACACACACACACACACACACACCAGUGUCAACAUUUUUGCUUAUACCAAAACUAAUUAUACCAAAAUUCAUGAACAGUUUUGUAGAACAAAAAGUUUAUGGUGUCAAAAAUUUGUCAUUACAAACUUUUAUACCUACAAAACUAGCUUGCACCCAUAUAUGUUAAAAUUCAACCAUGAAAAAGUAUUGAAAGAAUUAAAUUCAUAAAAUUUCCUAUGGCAUAUGUACUGGCUAAGGCCCUUUCCCAAUUUGAAAGGUAACACGUAUAAUGAGGAAGAGCUUAUUGAUAUUUGAUAAGUUUUCUUACCAAUCAUUUCUUUAUAUUUCCCUAUAUUUAGGGAAACAAUAAUUUUAAUUGUUAUGAUUUAUUUAAAUUAUUUAAUAGAUGUGAUUAGUAAUUAUGGUUUAUUUAAAAUUUUUUUAAUAGAUGUGAUUAGUCAUGUGAUUGAGAUACAUUUACCCCAAGAUAAGAACAUUGCUGAUAAGAACAUUGCUGGUCAGAAUUGUAGGUUUAUAGACUUUGCAAUAGAAGGUAACUAAUUACUUACUAUAGAGAUUGGAUACAAAUUGUCUACUGUGCAUCUUUUACCAAGUUUAUUACUGUGCAUCCAAUCUGCAUCUUCUACCAAGUUUCACCGGAUGGGAAUUUACGUCAGUGAAAUCUAGCGGCGGCGGAUCUUGAGUUAGACCACAAUAUGAAGAGGGAGGGAGGGCUAAAGACACAAGAUGACCAAAUUACUCCUGCGUAAUCAGAGUCCUCACCGGAAUACGGUCGAAUGGAGUGUUCUAUGACUAAAAAUAAUUAAUCUCGGGGACUAAAUUGAUUAAUACAAAGUUAAGGGACUACAUUGAUAGUUCGCGAACAAUUGAGGGACCAUAAAGGUGAUUUACUCAUUUUUCAAUGAAGAAUGUGUUUCAUCUCAACUGAAAGAUGAAGCCUUUUGUAUCCGACCUCUAUGGCUAUAGACAAAGUGUUACGUAUGCGGAUUGAUUAUUUACAUGUGGAUCAUAGUUGUGUUUGAGUUGUCUCUGAUAUCAAAUUGAAUGAUGUGUUUUAUCUCAAUUAAAAAUUUAAACUGA